ACUUGAAUUGAAGAGUUUGAUCAUGGCUCAGAUUGAACGCUGGCGGCAGGCUUAACACAUGCAAGUCGAACGGUAGCAGGAGAAAGGUUGCUUUCUUGC
rnacentral:rRNA from 1 species